AGGUCUAUGAUGACAACCCAAUGUCACAAAGAGAGGUGGUAACAUAAAAGUCAUGUCAAUGGUAUUACACUGAGGUCC